rnacentral:rRNA from 1 species
CGACGGGCCCGCACAAGCAGCGGAGCGUGUGGUUUAAUUCGAUGCUACACGAAGAACCUUACCAGGGUUUGACAUGCAAGUGGUAGGAAACCGAAAGGCGACCGACCUUCGGGGAGCUUGCACAGGUGCUGCAUGGCUGUCGUCAGCUCGUGUCGUGAGAUGUUCGGUUAAGUCCGCUAACGAGCGCAACCCUCGCUGUGUGUUACAAGUGUCACACGGUACUGCCGGUCUUAAGCCGGAGGAAGGUGGGGAUGACGUCAAGUCCUCAUGGCCCUUAUAGGUGGGGCUACACACGUCAUACAAUGGCUGGUACAAAGGGUUGCCAACCCGCGAGGGGGAGCUAAUCCCAUAAAGCCAGUCGUAGUCCGGAUCGUAGUCUGCAACUCGACUACGUGAAGUCGGAAUCGCUAGUAAUCGUGGAUCAGAAUGUCACGGUGAAUACGUUCCCGGGUCUU